AAAGAUUAAGCCAUGCAUGUCUAAGUAUAAGCAAUUAUACGGCGAAACUGCGAAUGGCUCAUUAAAUCAGUUAUCGUUUAUUUGAUAGUACCUUGCUACAUGGAUAACCGUGGUAAUUCUAGAGCUAAUACAUGCUAAAAAUCCCGACUUCGGAAGGGAUGUAUUUAUUAGAUUAAAAACCAAUGCCCUUCGGGGCUCUCUGGUGAUUCAUAAUAACUUCUCGAAUCGCACGGCCUUGCGCCGGCGAUGGUUCAUUCAAAUUUCUGCCCUAUCAACUUUCGACGGCUGGGUCUUGGCCAGCCAUGGUGA
rnacentral:rRNA from 1 species